GACGAACGCUGGCGGCGUGCCUAAUACAUGCAAGUAGAACGCACAGUUUAUACCGUAGCUUGCUACACCAUAAACUGUGAGUUGCGAACGGGUGAGUAACGCGUAGGUAACCUGCCUGGUAGCGGGGGAUAACUAUUGGAAACGAUAGCUAAUACCGCAUAAUAUUGAUUAUUGCACGAUAAUUGAUUGAAAGAUGCUAUUGCAUCACUACCAGAUGGACCUGCGUUGUAUUAGCUAGUAGGUGAGGUAACGGCUCACCUAGGCGACGAUACAUAGCCGACCUUGGAGGGUGAUCGGCCACACUGGGACUGAGACACGGCCCAGACUCCUACGGGAGGCAGCAGUAGGGAAUCUUCGGCAAUGGACGAAAGUCUGACCGAGCAACGCCGCGGGAGUGAAGAAGGUUUUCGGAUCGUAAAGCUCUGUUGUAAGAGAAGAACGGGUGUGAGAGUGGAAAGUUCACACUGUGACGGUAUCUUACCAGAAAGGGACGGCUAACUACGUG
rnacentral:rRNA from 1 species